rnacentral:tRNA from 2 species
GCCUCCGUAGCUCAGUUGGUAGAGCGUCCGCCUUGUAAGCGGAGGGUCGCGGGUUCGAUUCCUGUCGGAGGCUCCA